GGGGACAUAGCUCAGUUGGUUAGAGUGCCUGGAUCACAACCAGGAGGUCUACGGUUCAAAUCCGUAUGUCCCCACCA
rnacentral:tRNA from 2 species